UACGUACCGUACGAACGUUAUUCGGAAUUACUGGGCUUAAAGGGUUUGUAGGCGGCCUUGUAAGUCAGGUGUGAAAUCCCUCGGCUCAACCGAGGAAUAGCGCUUGAUACUGCAAGGCUUGAGGGAGACAGGGGUAAGCGGAACUGAUGGUGGAGCGGUGAAAUGCGUUGAUAUCAUCAGGAACACCGGUGGCGAAAGCGGCUUACUGGGUCUCUUCUGACGCUGAGGAACGAAAGCUAGGGGAGCAAACGGG
rnacentral:rRNA from 1 species